rnacentral:lncRNA from 1 species
UAGAGCUUCCAUAUUCAAAUUUGAGUUAUAUGAAUAAAUUUAAUAUCAUUAUACUAACAUAAUCAUCAGUUAGAAUUUCAAUAUGACUUUAUCUUAAUGGAUUGGGCUGACAAGGUGUUAAGGUUUAUGUGCAUGAAUAACCACCUAGCCACAAGACUUGAAGACUUUAAAUAUUUUAAUUUUGUUUGGAAAACUGAUUUAUCAUGAAGCUUAAAGUAUCUAAAUAAAAUAAAAAAGGGAAAAAGAUUGUUAGAAGAAAGUAGAAGCAUCUCCUUGAAGAAUUAUUCUUCCAAGGUCAUUGUGAAGGAAGAUGAAGAUAGUUUCUAUGAAUAUGUUGGUGUGUUCUUUAAUUGUUCAACAAGUAUAUGAUAAGACUCAAAAUAAUAAGUUUUUAUUAGUGAUCCAAAUUAUUGUGAAAUUUUGAAUAAGUUAUCUAAGUUUGUCGAUGCAUAAGUUCAAGCAAUGAAGUAAUUAGUCAUUAUUGGGCGGGAAGACACAAGUAAAGAUAAUCAAAGCAUGUGUCAUUCCACUUCAUUUUUUAUUUUAUUAAGGAGUGUCUGAGAAUAUCUCUCCAAACGUGAAAAUAAAGACAUAUUCAAUUAUAUAUUGUUUUGAUCGUAUUGUCCUUUUACUUAAGUUUUUUAUACUAACCAUUACUUGUGCAACAAUUAGAGCCUAAAUCAUCAAAUUUGUAUGAUCGUUCUACGCUCCUCCACUUUCUAUUAGUGUGCCUUUAAUUAUUUGUUGAUAUUUCUUUGUUUGAUGUAUUUUGUGUAUGUAUUAUAUGUUUGUUAUGUGUGCAUAAUAUAUCUCAUUCAUAUCUACAUUGUAUUGUCAUCUAGAUCAUUUUAGUUAUCUGAUUUUUUUGUGUAAUCAUCUGCAUCGUGACAUUUGUUGAGAUGAUUUUUUUUCGCAUUAAGAAUAUCUUGCAUCAAAGUUUCAUUAAUUUCUUACAGCGAACUAUUGUUUUUUCAUCUGUGGAUAGCGUUCUUCAUCCAUCAAUGCAUCAUUAAAAAAAUUUCAUAUAAUAUUAACCUUUUUAGAAUAUUCAUUAAAACAUAUUCUACUUGUAUAUCUACAAUACCAUAAUCAAAUAUGGUAUUCAAAUCCUCCAAUAUAUCUACAAUACCAUAAUGAAAUACCCGUUUUAUAAUAUUACAUUCUCUUAAUCAUCAUAUCCGUCUUAAUUUUGAUUGGCAUGCUAAAGAAGUAGUGAAGCUAAUUGUCAUUAGCUCGUUAUUACUUAACAUUUUGAACACAUAUUAGGUCAUUAAACUUAUACAUGACUCAAAGUUACACAAGGAUAUUUCAAAGUGUCUAUCCAUGAUCAUGCAUGGAACAAAAAAGUUUCUUGAAUCA